rnacentral:rRNA from 1 species
AUACGUAGGGAGCGAGCGUUGUCCGGAAUUACUGGGCGUAAAGGGCGCGUAGGCGGCGCUUCAAGUCGUCUGUCAAAUGGGAGGGCUUAACCCUUUUUCGCAGACGAAACUGGAGAGCUUGAGAAGCAGAGAGGCAAACAGAAUUCCUGGUGUAGCGGUGAAAUGCGUAGAUAUCAGGAAGAAUACCAGUGGCGAAGGCGGUUUGCUGGCUGCAUACUGACGCUGAAGCGCGAAAGCCAGGGGAGCAAACGGGAUUAGAGACCCCGGUAGUCCUGGCAGUAAACGAUGUAUGCUGGGUGUGAGACUAGCGAUAGUUUCGUGCCGAAGUUAACGCGAUAAGCAUACCGCCUGGGGAGUACGGUCGCAAGAUUGAAACUUAAAGGAAUUGGCGGGG